rnacentral:rRNA from 1 species
AGAGAAGCAAGCCUGUGAAGGGGAGCGAAACUCAAAAACCGGUCCCAGUUCGGAUUGUAGGCUGCAACUCGCCUACAUGAAGUCGGAGUUGCUAGUAAUCGCGGAUCAGAAUGCCGCGGUGAAUGCGUUCCCGGGUCUUGUACACACCGCCCGUCACACCAUGGGAGUUUGUAACGCCCAAAGUCGGUGGCCUAACCUUUAUGGAGGGAGCCGCCUAAGGCGGGACAGAUGACUGGGGUGAAGUCGUAACAAGGUACC